UGAGGAAUAUUGGUCAAUGGGCGAGAGCCUGAACCAGCCAAGUAGCGUGCAGGAUGACGGCCCUAUGGGUUGUAAACUGCUUUUAUAUGGGAAUAAAGUGAGGGACGUGUCCCUUAUUGCAUGUACCAUACGAAUAAGGACCGGCUAAUUCCGUGCCAGCAGCCGCGGUAAUACGGAAGGUCCAGGCGUUAUCCGGAUUUAUUGGGUUUAAAGGGAGCGUAGGCUGUUUGUUAAGCGUGUUGUGAAAUGUAAGAGCUCAACUUUUAGAUUGCAGCGCGAACUGGGACGCUUGAGUACGCGCAACGUUGGCGGAAUUCGUCGUGUAGCGGUGAAAUGCUUAGAUAUGACGAGGAACUCCGAUUGCGAAGGCAGCUGACGGGAGCGGCACUGACGCUUAAGCUCGAAGGUGCGGGUAUCAAACAGG
rnacentral:rRNA from 1 species